GACGAACGCUGGCGGCGUGCCUAAUACAUGCAAGUUGAGCGCUGAAGGUUGGUACUUGUACCAACUGGAUGAGCAGCGAACGGGUGAGUAACGCGUGGUGAAUCUGCCUUUGAGCGGGGGACAACAUUUGGAAACGAAUGCUAAUACCGCAUAAAAACUUUAAACACAAGUUUUAAGUUUGAAAGAUGCAAUUGCAUCACUCAAAGAUGAUCCCGCGUUGUAUUAGCUAGUUGGUGAGGUAAAGGCUCACCAAGGCGAUGAUACAUAGCCGACCUGAGAGGGUGAUCGGCCACAUUGGGACUGAGACACGGCCCAAACUCCUACGGGAGGCAGCAGUAGGGAAUCUUCGGCAAUGGACGAAAGUCUGACCGAGCAACGCCGCGUGAGUGAAGAAGGGUUUCGGAUCGUAAAACUCUGUUGGUAGAGAAGAACGUUGGUGAGAGUGGAAAGCUCAUCAAGUGACGGUAACUACACAGAAAGGGACGGCUAACUACGUG
rnacentral:rRNA from 1 species